rnacentral:rRNA from 1 species
GACGAACGCUGGCGGCGUGCUUAACACAUGCAAGUCGAGCGGUAAGGCCUUUCGGGGUACACGAGCGGCGAACGGGUGAGUAACACGUGGGUGAUCUGCCCUGCACUUCGGGAUAAGCCUGGGAAACUGGGUCUAAUACCGGAUAUGACCUCCUAUCGCAUGGUGGGUGGUGGAAAGAUUUAUCGGUGCAGGAUGGGCCCGCGGCCUAUCAGCUUGUUGGUGGGGUAAUGGCCUACCAGGGCGACGACGGGUAGCCGACCUGAGAGGGUGACCGGCCACACUGGGACUGAGACACGGCCCAGACUCCUACGGGAGGCAGCAGUGGGGAAUAUUGCACAAUGGGCGAAAGCCUGAUGCAGCGACGCCGCGUGAGGGAUGACGGCCUUCGGGUUGUAAACCUCUUUCAGCAGGGACGAAGCGCAAGUGACGGUACCUGCAGAAGAAGCACCGGCUAACUACGUG